rnacentral:lncRNA from 1 species
CAGAAGAUUCUUGGAUUGGGAAGAGGAAAUUCCAUCUGGGAACGACAAAUUUGGGGUGGGAGGAAUUUAUUUCCAACAGAACCAGAGCAGGAGAAAAAGAGCCCAAAAUCCAACUUUGCCCUCCCCCAAUUCCCGGCAUUCCCUCGGUCCCUCCGGAGUUUUCCGUGAUUUCUCAACUUUGGGAAGAGUUUUCCGUGGAUUUCUUGGUCAUGGGAAAGAAUUUUCCAUGGAUUUCUUGGUCAUGGGAAGAGUUUUCCAAGGAUUUCUCAGCUAUGGGAAUUUUCCUUGGAUUUCUUGGCCAUGGGAGUUUUCCAUGGAUUUCUUGGCUAUGGGAAGAGUUUUCCAUGGAUUUCUCCAAGAUGAAUCCAUUCCCAGGUAAGUUUUCCAUGGAUUUCUUGGUUAUAGGAAGAGUUUUCCAUGGAUUUCUCCAAGGUGAAUCUAUCCCACAACGAGUUUUCCAUGGAUUUCUCAACUUUGGGAAGAGUUUUCCGUGGAUUUCUCAAUUAUGGGAGAGUUUUCCAUGGAUUUCUUGGCUAUGGGAAAGAAUUUUCCAUGGAUUUCUCAAUUAUGGGAAGAAUUUUCCAUGGAUUUCUCCAAGGUGAAUCCAUCCCACAGCGAGUUUUCCAUGGAUUUCUCCAUGAAUCCAUUCCCAGCUAAGUUUUCAUUUCUUUGGUUAUGGGAAGAGUUUUCCAUGGAUUUCUCAAUUAUGGGAAGAAUUUUCCAUGGAUUUCUCCAAGGUGAAUCCAUCCCACAGCGAGUUUUCCAUGGAUUUCUCAACUUUAGGAAGAGUUUUCCAUGGAUUUCUUGGCCUGGGAAGAAUUUUCCAUGGAUUUCUCCAAGGUGAAUCCGUCCCACAGCGAUUUUUCCAUGGAUUUCUCAGCUAUGGAAUUUUGCAUGGAUUUCUUGGCCAUGGGAAGAAUUUUCCAUGGAUUUCUCAAUUAUGGGAAAGAGUUUUCCAUGGAUUUCUCCAAGGUGGAUCCAUCCCACAAUGAGUUUUCCAUGGAUUUCUCAGCUAUGGGAAAGAAUUUUCCAUGGAUUUCUCAGCUAUGGGAAGAGUUUUCCAUGGAUUUCUCCAAGGUGAAUCCAUCCCACAGUGAGUUUUCCAUGGAUUUCUCAACUUUGGGAAGAGUUUUCCAUGGAUUUCUUGGUUAU